ACAGGAAGGCCGGAGCUGGAAUCAAACCCACGACCUCUGCACUGUGAGGUCCACGCGGUAACCACUGGACCCACCGGGCCGCCGCCCACUAAAACACCAUAGUCAAAAUCAGUGCACGCAAUUGACAAUAAUUUGGCAAAGUCAUUAAAAAAAAAAUCUGUGUUGUACUUGAGAGGUUUACAAAUGUUGCUCGAUAAAAGAAUUUGGACUGAAGAGCAACAUUCAAAAGAAUCAAACUUUCCUUUACAUAUUUUCUCGCGUUGGAGGUUGUUAUUAAACAAAAUGGCUAGCCCCCCUCAUUUCUUAUGUAUUCUGGCUUCUUUCAUGAAAUUGAAGUUGGGAUGGGUUGACUCAAUAAAAACUGCUGUCUGUCCUGACUAAGUUUCAGUUAAAAGCAUAAAAAGUAAAAAGCACAAUAAAUACUAUUGAAGUAAUUUAGUAUUUAACCUAAUGCGAAGUCCAAUAAAUUCAGUGAUUCAUAGUUGGGACAAAAAAAGUGCUUUUAAUCAGCACGGUCUAUAAUGCUCAACUCCACAAACCAUACUUGUUUUUGUGGAUAGGUGCAUUU